rnacentral:rRNA from 1 species
GACGAACGCUGGCGGCGUGCUUAACACAUGCAAGUCGAACGGAAAGGCCCUGCUUUUGUGGGGUGCUCGAGUGGCGAACGGGUGAGUAACACGUGAGUAACCUGCCCUUGACUUUGGGAUAACUUCAGGAAACUGGGGCUAAUACCGGAUAGGAGCUCCUGCUGCAUGGUGGGGGUUGGAAAGUUUCGGCGGUUGGGGAUGGACUCGCGGCUUAUCAGCUUGUUGGUGGGGUAGUGGCUUACCAAGGCUUUGACGGGUAGCCGGCCUGAGAGGGUGACCGGCCACAUUGGGACUGAGAUACGGCCAGACUCCUACGGGAGGCAGCAGUGGGGAAUAUUGCACAAUGGGCGGAAGCCUGACGCAGCAACGCCGCGUGCGGGAUGACGGCCUUCGGGUUGUAAACCGCUUUCGCCUGUGACGAAGCGUGAGUGACGGUAAUGGGUAAAGAAGCACCGGCUAACUACGUG